rnacentral:lncRNA from 1 species
AUGCAACAGAGAAAUGAAGAGAUGCGCUACUGCUGUCUUGAAAGCAUGGAGUGCUAUUCUGAUGCCACAGCUUCCAACACUAAGGGAAAGAACUAUGAGCUGGUUUUACAACAGCGGAACAUUGUCUGGCUGAAGCACUAUGACAGAAAGACUCUGGUUUGGUUGUUGGUCAAGUACAACAGAAGGAGAAGAGGGAGUUACAUCUACAUGGCUGAAUAAAGAAAAAGUACUGAUGAAUACUGGAGUAAGAAUUUCCCUUUUGUAAGAAAAUGCAAUUAUUUCCAUAAUAAUAAUCAUUAAAUGUAGAAAUACAAAGGCUGUAUUUUCUUUUAUGUAUUCCCAUUUGACAAAUAAAUAACUGACUGAUCUAAUAGCUGUACUGCA